rnacentral:rRNA from 1 species
CCCGAAAGGUCGAAAGCGGAGAUUCAACUGUCUGUCGUGUGAUGUCCGGCGUGUUUGGGGCGAACGCGAGUUCAGUGAACUGAGACGAUGGUGCGCUUGCGCGUCUCCUCGGAGGCGGCGUACUGUUGCACUUCGCUCGGCCUCUACGCACGCGACCUGGCCGCGAAGGCAUGCACUUCUCCGUUAGUAGGACGUCGCGACCCGUUGGGGCGCCGGUCUAAGGCUUGUCGCGUAGACUGAUCUCGCGCGUUUACGCGCGCGGGACGCAGACCGACAUGUUUCCCGACCGUGCCCCCGACGGUAUAACCGAACGGACGGCGUUGGGUCGCUGCUAAAUUUAUUUUGGCGCGUUCCGUGCGAGCGCAAGUGCGUGCGCGUUUAUCGGCCUCGUGCCGUCGGCGGUCGGACCUGGUGCCGGCUCCGGACGCGCAUCACUGUUGGCGUUUCGUAACUCUCGAACGGGCCCGCGCUCGCGCGUUUCGGCGCGCGGCCACGCCGCGUCGGCGACGCUAUAGCUUUGGGUACUUUCAGGACCCGUCUUGAAACACGGACCAAGGAGUCUAGCAUGUGCGCGAGUCACUGAGUGCUCGACUAAACUCAAAGGCGAAAUGAAAGUGAAAGCGGCCGCGCGUUCCGGCGCGCGGUCGCCGAGGGAAGAUCGGUCGCGUGCGCUUUCGCGUCCGCGGCCGCGCAUUCCCGGGGCGUCUCGUUCUCAUCGCGAGAUGAGGCGCACCUAGAGCGUACACGCUGGGACCCGAAAGAUGGUGAACUAUGCCUGGUCAGGACGAAGUCAGGGGAAACCCUGAUGGAGGUCCGUAGCGAUUCUGACGUGCAAAUCGAUCGUCGGAACUGGGUAUAGGGGCGAAAGACUAAUCGAACCAUCUAGUAGCUGGUUCCCUCCGAAGUUUCCCUCAGGAUAGCUGGCGCUCGCGUUCGCGCGCGCUUCGGCGCGUGCGUUCACGAGUCUCAUCUGGUAAAGCGAAUGAUUAGAGGCCUUGGGGCCGAAACGACCUCAACCUAUUCUCAAACUUUAAAUGGGUGAGAUCUCCGGCUUGCUUGAACUAGUGAAGCCGCGAGACGAAUUAUGGAUCGAGAGUGCCAAGUGGGCCACUUUU